rnacentral:rRNA from 1 species
AACGAACGCUGGCGGCAGGCUUAACACAUGCAAGUCGAACGCCCCGCAAGGGAGUGGCAGACGGGUGAGUAACGCGUGGGUAUGUGCCCAAAGGUUCGGAACAACUCCGGGAAACUGGAGCUAAUACCGAAUGUGACCGAGAGGUGAAAGAUUUAUCGCCUUUGGAUCAGCCCGCGUUGGAUUAGCUAGUUGGUGGGGUAAAGGCCUACCAAGGCGACGAUCCAUAGCUGGUCUGAGAGGACGACCAGCCACACUGGGACUGAGACACGGCCCAGACUCCUACGGGAGGCAGCAGUGGGGAAUCUUGGACAAUGGGCGAAAGCCUGAUCCAGCCAUGCCGCGUGGAUGAUGAAGGCCUUAGGGUUGUAAAAUCCUUUCGUCGGGACGAUAAUGACGUACCCGAAGAAGAAGCUCCGGCUAACUUCGUGCCAGCAGCCGCAGU